UCGGGAAUUUUGGGCAAUGGGCGAAAGCCUGACCCAGCAACGCCGCGUGAGGGAUGAAGUAUUUCGGUAUGUAAACCUCGAAAGAAUGGGAAGAAUAAAUGACGGUACCAUUUAUAAGCUCCGGCUAACUACGUGCAAGCAGCCGCGGUAAUACGUAGGGAGCAAGCGUUGUUCGGAUUUACUGGGCGUAAAGGGCGCGUAGGCGGCGCGGUAAGUCACUUGUGAAAUCUCUGAGCUUAACUCAGAACGGCCAAGUGAUACUGCUGUGCUAGAGUGCGGAAGAGGCAACCGGAAUUCUAGGUGUGGCGGUGAAAUGCGUAGAUAUCAAGAGGAACACCUGAGGCGAAGGCGGGUUGCUGGGCCGACACUGACGCUGAUGCGCGAAAGCCAGGGGAGCAAACG
rnacentral:rRNA from 1 species